GACGAACGCUGGCGGCGUGCUUAACACAUGCAAGUCGAACGGUGACGCGCCUUCCUUUUUGGUGUGUUUGGAUGAGUGGCGAACGGGUGAGUAACUCGUGAGUAUCCUGCCCCCUUCUUCUGGAUAACCGCAUGAAAGUGUUGCUAAUACGUGAUAUUCUGGGUCUGUCGCAUCAUGGGUCUGGGACAGUUUUUGUUUCGGUUGUGGAUGGGCUCGCGGCCUAUCAGCUUGUUGGUGGGGUGAUGGCCUACCAAGGCGACGACGAGUAGCCGGCCUGAGCGGGUGGACGGGAAGACAGGGGAGGAGACACGGACCAGACGACGACGGGAGGCAGCAGGGGGGAAUAUGGCACAAGGGGAGGAAGCCUGAUGCAGCGACGCCGCGUGAGGGAUGGAGGCCGGCGGGUUGAGAACCGCUGUCGCGAGUGAAGCAGGGCGGCCUCGUUUGUGGGUAGGUUGACGGUAGCUGGAGAAGAAGCGCCGGCUAACUACGUG
rnacentral:rRNA from 1 species